GACGAACGCUGGCGGCGUGCUUAACACAUGCAAGUCGAACGGAAAGGCCCUGCUUUUGUGGGGUGCUCGAGUGGCGAACGGGUGAGUAACACGUGAGUAACCUGCCCUUGACUUUGGGAUAACUUCAGGAAACUGGGGCUAAUACCGGAUAGGAGCUCCUGCUGCAUGGUGGGGGUUGGAAAGUUUCGGCGGUUGGGGAUGGACUCGCGGCUUAUCAGCUUGUUGGUGGGGUAGUGGCUUACCAAGGCUUUGACGGGUAGCCGGCCUGAGAGGGUGACCGGCCACAGAGGGACUGAGAUACGGCCCAGACGGCUACGGGAGGAAGCAGUGGGAAAUAGUGCGCAAUGGGCGGAAGCCGGAUGCAGCAACGCCGCGUGCGAGAUGACGGCCUUCGGGGUGUAAACCGCUUUCGCGUGUGACGAAGCGUGAGUGACGGUAAUGGGUAAAGAAGCACCGGCUAACUACGUG
rnacentral:rRNA from 1 species